AAAAGACAGACUGAACAGGCACCAAUUGAUUGGCAGCCGGGCUUUUUGGCAGCAGGACACUCUGACCUGCGGGACAGCG
rnacentral:ncRNA from 1 species